UCGCAUCGCUGCCGCGGGGGAGCCGGAGCUGGCGGGGCCGCUGGGCUGGGCGCAGACCGCCGCCAAAAAUACCCGCGGCCCGAGGAGGCGCCUGCACAGGCGGUUUUGACCUUUCAAUAGAGAGCUGAUUCUGGAGAACAACUUACUUCUGUGAUUGAAAAAUUCUCUCUGGGAAGCUGAUGGAGCAUGAGAAUGAGGAGUAUUGCAUUGAGACAACUGAAUCUGCCACAGUAAGGAUGGAAAUUGCAUGGGUUUCUUUCCUUUUCUUACAUGCAGCGUUUAACUGUGUGGUGAGUCAAAUGUAGACUUUAUUGGUUAUGUAAAUGUGUCACUAAUUUUAGAUACAGUCAAGAUCUUAAAGUGUUUCCUUUAUGAUCUUUUCUUCACUAUCAUGACUCAGUAUCACUUGCUAGAUCUAAUUGUAUUAGCCCUAUUACAUUUUACCAUUAUAAAUCAUACUUGUCCUCAAACCAUACUGGCUUACAUUUUAACUUAUCUCCACCGGAGAUUUGCCCUGAUUCAGGCCUCAGUGGCCAGCCACCAGUGUGGCUGAACAGAUGGAAACCUCUAAUGUAGAUGGGCAAAGCUGUUAUGCUAUAAUUUUUUUCACCACGUACAAUUUCAAAGAAGGGUCUGCUGUACUGGUACAAAUCACAACUUUGCUUAUCUAUAGUAUGGGCUUGCACUGGUGGA